UUCUGAUGUCCAAUUGUGGGUAGUCCGAAAGGACAUAAAGGGAAGACGGUGAAAAUCCGUCGCGGACCCGCCGCUGUGAUCGGGGACGAACGCCGCAGUGUGCCACUAUCGGGCAUUCAGAUUUCAAAGCCUGUCUUGUUGCAACAGCCACCUUACGCUCAAAUAUUUUGGCUGGUGCAAUAUAAUCGAGAUAAAAGUCAGGUUGAUUGCCGGAUAGGAAGGCGCGGUCAGUAGGAUGAUCCGUAAGUCAGAAGACCUGCCCAUGAAGACAUGAUAUU
rnacentral:ncRNA from 2 species